ACUCAAAGGAAUUGACGGGGGCCCGCACAAGCGGUGGAGCAUGUGGUUUAAUUCGACGCAACGCGAAGAACCUUACCUACCCUUGACAUCCUUGGAACCUACGAGAGAUUGUGGGGUGCCCGCGAGGGAGCCAAGAGACAGGUGCUGCAUGGCUGUCGUCAGCUCGUGUCGUGAGAUGUUGGGUUAAGUCCCGUAACGAGCGCAACCCUUAUCCUUAGUUGCUAGCAGGUAAAGCUGAGAACUCUAGGGAGACUGCCGGUGACAAGCCGGAGGAAGGUGGGGAUGACGUCAAGUCCUCAUGGCCCAUACGGGUAGGGCUACACACGUGCUACAAUGGGCGAUACAGAGGGAAGCGAAGCUGCGAAGUGAAGCGAAUCUCAGAAAGUCGCUCGUAGUCCGGAUUGGAGUCUGGAACUCGACUCCAUGAAGUUGGAAUCGCUAGUAAUCGCAGAUCAGAACGCUGCGGUGAAUACGUUCCCGGGCCUUGUACACACCGCCCGU
rnacentral:rRNA from 1 species